UGGGGAAUAUUGGACAAUGGGCGCAAGCCUGAUCCAGCAACACCGCGUGGAGGAUGAAGGUCUUCGGAUCGUAAACUCCUGUCAGACGGGACGAAGGUUGGGUGGCGAACAGCAGCUCAGCUUGACGGUACCGUCAGAGGAAGCCCCGGCUAACUCCGUGCCAGCAGCCGCGGUAAUACGGAGGGGGCUAGCGUUAUUCGGAAUUAUUGGGCGUAAAGGGCGCGUAGGGCGGCUGUGCAAGUCAAAGGUGAAAUCCCUCGGCUCAACUGAGGAACUGCCUUUGAAACUGCUCGGCUUGAGGCCGGGAGGGGGUAGCGGAAUUCCCAGUGUAGCGGUGAAAUGCGUAGAUAUUGGGAGGAACACCAGUGGCGAAGGCGGCUACCUGGACCGGUUCUGACGCUGAUGCGCGAAAGCGUGGGUAGCAAACAGGAUUAGAUACCCUGGUAGUCCACGCUGUAAACGAUGGGUGCUCGGUGUCGCGGGUAUCGACCCCUGCGGUGCCUUAGCUAACGCGUUAAGC
rnacentral:rRNA from 1 species